rnacentral:lncRNA from 1 species
AUUGAAUUCUUGGGGUUCUUUGAUAUGCUGAAUCUAAACAUGUACUUAGAUUUUUGAUUAUGGGCCCAGUUUUCAAGUUGGUCGAAAUCGGGGUCCAACAUUAUUAUAUUAAGUUUUGUGCAAUAGCAAGAAAUCUUCAAUUGCACAGUAUUGUGCAAUAGCAAGAAAUUUUCAAUUGCACAGUAUUGUGCAAUAGCAAGAAAUCUUUAAUUGCACAGUAUUGCGCAAUAGCAAGAAAUAUCUAAUUGCACAAUAUUGCGCAAUAGCAAGAAAUUUUCAAUUGCACAGUGUUUAUGAAAUAUUCUUUGAAAAUUGGAGUUAUCUUUCUUUGUCCAGAAUAGUAAUUGAAUCAACUUAAAUCAUUGUUUU